rnacentral:rRNA from 1 species
CUACGGGUGGCAGCAGUGGGGAAUAUUGCACAAUGGAGGAAACUCUGAUGCAGCAACGCCGCGUGGAGGAUGACACUUUUCGGAGCGUAAACUCCUUUUAUAUGGGAAGAAGAUGACGGUACUAUAUGAAUAAGCGCCGGCUAACUCCGUGCCAGCAGCCGCGGUAAUACGGAGGGCGCAAGCGUUACUCGGAAUCACUGGGCGUAAAGAGCGUGUAGGCGGAUUAAAAAGUCAGAAGUGAAAUCCUAUAGCUUAACUAUAGAACUGCUUCUGAAACUCUUAAUCUAGAAUAUGGGAGAGGUAGAUGGAAUUUCUGGUGUAGGGGUAAAAUCCGUAGAGAUCAGAAGGAAUACCGAUUGCGAAGGCGAUCUCCUGGAACAUUACUGACGCUAAGGCGUGAAAGCGCGGGGAGCAAACAGGAUUAGAUACCCUUGUAGUC